rnacentral:lncRNA from 1 species
GGGCCUGGUGGCUCUGCAGUUCCCAGGGGUACACAGUCUCUCAGUCGUAGCUGUUGUGAGUCUGGAAUUAUUCUCUCUUCAAUGCCACAGUGUCACGUGUUCUUAAAAUUUUGCAUCUUCUCUCUCCCCAUCCAGUCCCAAGAAUUCUGCCUGUAGGUAGUUUUUUUUCUUCUCCCGCUCCAGCAUUUUAUUAUGAAAAUUUGCAAACAUAACGAAAAAAAUGGAAAGAAUUGUACAGUGAACACCCACGGCCUCGGCACCUAUGUUCUGUAAUUUGCAUUUCACUGUACUGGUUUUAGCAUAAGUUUGUUCCUAUCUCCACCUCUGCCAGUAUCCAUCCAUCCAUCCACCCUGUCUUCUUCUAGUGGAUUUCCAAGUAAUUUGCAGAGAGAAAUACACUCCAUCUCUCAUAGUUUCGCCUGCGUAUCAUUAACUAGAGUGUAGGAUUUAUUUACCCCUCUUUUGGGCUAACACUUAGACACAGGGAUGUUUCUAAGCCCUAAGUGUACUUUCAGUGGGUUCCUAUAUAUGUCUCUAGGGCCCCAAUUCCAUCAAGAUAGAGGACAUAUCCAGGAAGUUUCCUCAUGCCCGCCUUUCAGGAAAUCCUCAGCCCAGCCCACCCCUGCACAACCACUCUUCUGAUUUCAUCACCGUAGAUUAGCUUGGGCUUGUUCUGGAACUUUCCAUACACUCUGUGCUCUUUGACAUAAGCCUCCUUCAGCGAGCGGCAUGCUAUUUUUGAGAUUCACUCAUGUUUUUCUGUGUAAAUACAUCCUUGACUGUACAGACACACACAUACACACACUCACCCACCCAUGUAGGCAGACAUCUAUACACAUAACAUACACAUAAGACAAACUUCUCACGUAAAUGUUGGUAGGUUGGGUGUAUUUCUCUCCAGGAAGUGCCUUAUAGAUUUUGGACCCUUUUCUUAGCUACAUCCUUUAGGUCAGCUUUCAAAGAGAUCUUUGUGAUGUCUGGCAGAUUAUUAAGAGCUUUGGUUGGCCAGGGAAGGUUAGUUUUGGAAAGGUCCCCUCCCAUAUCCCUCCAGAGUGGAACCGUGAGCUGGACUCCGCAACCUUGAGGUGGUGCGAAGGGAAGGAGAGGGCAGGGGAAGGGAGAAGAGAGCCAUGCGGGUACCAAAAACUGUCUGAUUUAUGGUGUCAACAGCCACACGUGUUCUGCAGUGGAAGUUGUUUCCAGGGGCCCGUGUGACGUUCUUCCCCUUUGGAGCUGGACACACUCCUUGUCACAAAUAGCAUCAGAGAGAGACAGGCUAGGGGUUUAAUCAGCCUAUGCCAGAGCCACAGCAACACGGGAUCUGAGCCGUGUCUGUGACCUACACCACAGCCCACGGCAACACUGGAUCCUUAACCCACUGUGCAAGGCCAGGGAUCGAACCCACAACCCCAUGGUUCCUAGUUGGAUUUGUUUCUGCUGCUCCACAACAGGAACUCCUUACUAGCCAAAUAUUAUGCAGUAUUUUUCUCCACUCAUGAAUUUUUUGGAUCUGUGUACAUGUGCUAGUUCAUUCAUUUGAAGUGCUGUCUUGUCUUCCAUCAGCUGACUCUCACCCUUGCCAUUUAUUUUUCCACUCCCCAGUAACACAUAUAAUACAAGUGCAUUGUCUUCAGUUCCCCGCUCUGGGUAAUUAAUAGUCUCCUUACCUAAGUGUUCAGACAAGGAACCUUAGAGCCCGCUGUUAAAUGACCCAGCUAAGGUGUCACAGUUUUCACAGGCAGUGGAACCAGAGAAUGAGCCAAAACGGACCAUAUCUUCCCUCCCAGGCAAUCGUCUUUCUCACUGCUCCACAGUUAUCUCCUUUCAGGAAAAGGAGAUGAUAAAUUUGCAGGAAGUGUUAGAGAGUUUUAUCUUUAAAAAGCUCCAGGGAGAAAACGAUCUUGUUUUGAGAGCAGUGUGAAGGUUUGAUGCCAGAUGGGGUCUCCCCAUGUGUUUCGAGGGCAGAGAACAGACCCGUGUGUGGCGGGAGGGUCACCCCCGACUUGGGGUCUUGUCUGUUGCCUUCCUGGGUGGCUUCCUGGGCAGAGACAGUGAGUGUGACAACCACCUUGAAGCUGGCCUUCUUUUCACAAGGGCAGCCAGACACUCAGGGGACUUUAUCUCCCAGCAUAGAGAGUUCCUGGGGGAACGGGACCACUUCUGUCCUUGGGGGGGAGGGGUGUCCGCGGGGGGUGGUCCCCGCAUCCUUUUUUUCCCAUUUCCACUGAAUAUAGUGUCACUGGAGAGCAGGAUUUGAAACCAGUUAACCUCAAAAGAGGCCAGUCAUAUCUGUCCCCAUUUCUCUUUGAAAAAUGAUGAAUGCUAAACAGUCCUCGAGGUUUACAGAUCUACCAAAAGACGGUCAAGGUUCUGAAACAAUGAGGACAUUCUUUUCCACGCUGAGGAUGGCACCAGGGCCUUGACGCCACCUGGCUCGGUCACUGGCUUCGGAGAGGGCCUGGGGCUGUUUUCGCAACUUCCCAGAGUUUCAGUUUCCUUGUCUUUCAAAGCAGAUGCUGUUGACAGUCACUUGUACCAUCAGACCAAGACUGACCAAUUGUGAGCCUCAGGGCACCCCCCCUCGCAGGAGCCCUUCCAGGACCUCCUAUCUCAUUUUUAUUCGUAAUUUGAUAGGCGUUUUUAUAAAGUGCAUCCCCCAAGUUGUGUAAGCUGUGGCCCCACAAGCCAUGGGUGGGCCUCCUGGCUCAUAAGGUGGUUGUAAAGAUACCUGUUGCAUAGUUAGCGCGUGGUACUUGUGAGCUCAUUAGGAUGAUUAUUUAAUGAAUAGCAUGUGCCUUGAGUGUCACCCCAUGCCUGGAACCGCAUGGGGGCUCAAUUAGUGGCAGCCUCGGUUCUUCUGUUCUCAAGUUGUGCGGUGUUCCGGUUUCCCAGAGUCUCCAUCUUCAAGGAAAAUGUGAGAAGGACCCAAGAUACCUGCCCCUUUCUCCCGCUGCUACCAUAAAUUCUGUGUAUAAUAGAUGAAAAUCCUUUAAUUCCUUAAGAGUUUCCUGCCUCUUCUGUCUUUUCUCCAUCAUCUGGCUCACCUGGUCCAGUCGACCCUGUGCUCCAGGGGAGGCCAGCAGUCAGCCAGGUGGGGACACCACGAGGCUGCAUGUCAUCUUCUCCUGUGCUUUCUUCUCAUCCCAAAAGAUUGUGAAGGAGUUCCCUGGUGGUGUAUACCAGGUUAAGGAUCCAGCAUUGUCAUUGGAAACUUCAGCAUGCUGCCGGUUCGGCCAAAAAAAAAAAAAAAAAAAAAAAAAAA